rnacentral:rRNA from 1 species
UACGAGGGAUCCUAGCGUUGUUCGGAAUCAUUGGGCGUAAAGGGUGCGUAGGUGGCCAUACAAGUCAGUUGUGAAAGCCCGGGCUCAACCCGGGAAGUGCUUCUGAUACUGUUUGGCUUGAGUACUAGAGAGGUGAGUAGAAUUCAGGUGUAGUGGUGAAAUACGUAGAUAUCUGGAGGAAUACCGGUGGCGAAGGCGGCUCACUGGCGUAAGUACUGACACUGAAGCACGAAAG